UCCUCCUUCCCGCAUAGCCUUCUGGGAAAUGUAGUUCCGGCGCGGGUGCUGUUUCCUACCGAGUUUGCCGCAAGAGCCCUUCCGAAAGGCACGUUUGCAGGCGGAAUAGAAAAGACCAAAGCCCCAGGAUCCCCUCUCCUAAAUCUUGUGCACACAUUCUCUGUACCACGAGUCACACUCCCAAGCUCACUACACACACACCCAGCCCCAGACCUCUCUCUGCCAAAGAAGCCCCUCUAAGCAGUGCAUCCGCCAGCUGGCUGGCGCCCCUUCCCGGGCUGGCGGCCACGAAGCGACUCCGCUCCCCCGUAGAUCGAAUAGGUUUGUCUGAGAUCACUGAAGGGUGGAACGGACCUAAAUCUUAUAAUUCUGUUGGAAUCUGGAUUGGCACACAACAAGUGGUCUUUAGAUUUCUGGAGGAGGAAGAGACAAAGCAGGUCCUGCUGAUCUCGUGAGAGAGUCUGUGCUGGGUCAUAACCCAUUUCUGCUCACCUGAAGGGAUAGCCGAACAAAACAAUGAUGGAGCUCACGUCCUUGGCGUCGUUGUUGCAGCGAACUGUUGCUCCUGUCUCCCCGCUGUAGGAGCCGCAGGACCCGAAGGCGAAAAUAGCAAAGAGCUGAGAGAGAGUGAAGCCCCUUUAAGAAUCAGAAGGCCUCAUGUGGCCAAGGCACUGCUGAGCAUCGACAGGAAGAUGGCAUUUCUCAAGCAUCUAUUUUGUACCAGAUUUGCUUCCUUCCUUAACUGUUCAGGGGACUAAGCCCAAGGAAGAAGAGGGUGACAACUGAAACAACCCUGUCACCAUGCACAAGGCUCUGAGAGCAACCUGAUCAUAAAGAACAGCAGCCAAAGAUGGAGGCUCUGAGACAGGGGGAUUUCUGGAAUUCUGGUGCCAACCAAUUUUCCUUCUCUUGGACUUGCAUUGCUCCUCCUGCCUCUGUGUCGCUUUUAUAAAGACGUUGGAAUAACUUUUCCCAGGGUCUCCCUGAGUUGCCCAACUGACCUUGAACUUGUGAUCCUCCUGCCUCAGGCUCCCGAGUCACUGGGAUUGCAGGUGUGCACCACUGCAUCCAGCCAACCUUCCCAGUUAAAGGAUGAGUUUGUACUUUGGACUUCCUUGCUGGUCAGAGAAAACCAACAGUCCAGAGAACACCAACAUCAUCUGUGCAGAGCAUAGAAGGCAAGUUCUUUCCCCCAAAUCCUCCUCCCUAAUCGUCCGAUUGGUUUGAUGAACUCUGAUGAUGUCCUUUCAAAUCCUCCACAGUGACUGAAAUAACUCCAUUACAGACACCUCAGAGUCAAAUAAAUUACUUUGGCAUCCCAAA